GGAGCUGAUGGCACAUGAUAGCUAAUCUGAUGGGUGAUAAAGCUUUCUUCAGAAAGGAGAAAAGGUAUCAAUGUUGAGACUGGGUUUAGUCAGGAUUGGCUUAGCUUUGAGUCUAUGAGGCAUUUUACAUAUCGUAAAUUACAUAAGACCUGNNNNNNNNNNNNNNNNNNNNNNNNNNNNNNNNNNNNNNNNNNNNNNNNNNNNNNNNNNNNNNNNNNNNNNNNNNNNNNNNNNNNNNNNNNNNNNNNNNNNUUUAUAAAAUACUUUUAAAAUUUAAAAAAUUAUUUAUAGUGUUUUCUAAAUAAACACUUGAUAUAUGAUUAUUUUAAAAAAUACUUUUAGAGAAAAAUACUUCAAUUAAGAGGGUGUUUGGUACCAAUUUUAAAAGGUGUUUUUGGUUUUUCUAAUAUUUGAAAAUUUUUAUUUUUCAAGUGUUAUAAAAAUUAAAAACACUUCUUAAAAGUACUGUCAAAUGCACUUUAAGAGUACAUUUGGUAAUAAUUAUAAAAAACAUUUUUAACAUUUCAAAUAUUUAAAUGAUAAAAAAAAAUUUUAAUAUUACAAAUGUUAUAAAUACUUCUUAAAAUCAUUGUCAAACGAAUUCUAAAAAUACUUCAAAUAAAAAACAUUAGUAAAGACACUCUAAGUUUUAUAUUUUAAAAAAUAUUUUUUUAUAAAAAAAGAAGAUAAUUAUAACAUGUUCAAAAAUAUUAAUUAAAUGAAAGUUUGUUUUCGUAGAAAACAAAAUAUGAAUUUUCUUAUUUCUUAAAAACAUGGUAUUGACAAAUGUAGGAUUAUACUCAACAAUGUUAAUCAAAUGCUCUUAAAAAUUAUGUUUGACCUUUGAAUUCUAUUUUUGCUGAUCAGGGUUUAAAUCCUAUUAAGUUCCCUUCACUAGGGUUUAUGUUAUGUAUAUCUUCUUCCUUUUUAUAUCCUCCUAACUUUUUUUUUUUUUUUUUUGAAAAAUGCCCCAUAUGCAAUGCGGGUUUUUCCAUGGUUAAAAACAUUAGCUUAUUGUUUAAGUAUGAGCAUUAAGACAAUAUCCUAUCAAAAAGUUGUGACCAAAAGAAAAAGAAUUGUGAAUGUGAAAAGCAUUGUCUCAAAUUUCAUAAGUGGUUUCAUACUUUGUUGGUCAAGUGUUAUCUUUUCAUCCAUUAACUACAUAUUGGGGGUCCAUGUCAUUGAGACAAACUCACCACAAAAUAUUUGUAGUGGUCCAACAAGAAUUGCAUGCAUGCUAUGAUGAAUUGAUUUUUCAAUCACCAUCAUAAUUCAAUGAUUGUAAUUGAAUUUAAGCAAGAUCUUUAUUUUUGAAGUUUCACUCUUAUGGCCUUUCAUCUUCUCUUGACAAGAAAUAUAUCGUGCGAAUGAAAAAAUCAGGUGUUCUUUGUUAGUGAUUUUAAGAUAGUUAUUAAAGGGAAUCAGUAAUGAUUUUGAAGUGAUAGUAAUACAUUUUUCUAAUAAUUUUUAACACGACCAUGGAAAGAGUAAUGAGGUAAUAAUUAUCUUAUCAUCGAAACCGUAUUUUAUCUUUUAUCUUAGUUAGAAAUUGAGGCCGAAGUCAAAGUUAUAUUUUUUUUAAGUAAAUAUUAAUAUGAUAAAGGUUUCUUAAACAUUAAAAACUAUAGUGUAUACACUAAAAUAUGUCUUUAAUAAUAAGCAACUUUUUUUGACUUUCAUAUUAAGUUUUUAUUUUUGAUUUUUGAUUUAUUAUUUUUGUUUUUUAAGUUAUAAGCUAUUUGAAUAGAAUUAGUCAAUAGGGUAUACAAGUUGUUAUUGAACUUGAAAAAAAAAUGAGGUAUACAAGUUGUUGAACUUGAAAAAAACUUUUGAUUUUUCAAAAGUCAAUUCAAACAAGCAAUUAUAAAACACACACACAUAUAGUCAUUGACUCUAAUAUAUAUAUAUAUAUAUAUAUAUAUAUAUUAGAGUCAAUGACUUUAUUAAGUGAUUAUAGAGUGUCUAGUUGUCAUAUUUAACAAUUAAUUGAAAAAUAAAUAAAUAAAUAAAAUAAAAAACCUAAAAUGUGCAUGGGAGGAGGAAGGUUGCACGAGGUAAAAGGUAAUUUAUAUUAAAAACUUGUUUGGUAACUAUUUUUUAAAAAAUAAUCUUGUUUUUUUAUUCUAAAAAAAUAAAAUACAUUUGAAAAAAAAAAUGGAAAAGAAUUUUUUUUUUGUUUUUAAAAAUAAAAACCAUAAUAUUUUCAAAGAAUAUAUUUUAAUUAUUUUCAAUUGUUUUCACUUAUUUUUUUAAAAGUUGUUUAAAAAAAUAAUUCUACAAAUAUAAAAAAUGAUUUAAAAUAAAACACUACAUAUAUUUUUUUAAAAUAUAUUUAAAAAUAUAGAAAACAUAUUUAAAAUAUUUUAGAUUUAUGAAUAGUUUUUUAUUUUAUAAAAUAUUAAAGAAUAGUUUUUAAAAAUUAUUCUCAAAACCUACUUUCGAAAAUACUUCCAAUUGAGUCUAAAUCUUGCUUUCUAGAAAAACGAGGUCCAAGCCCAUGAGACCCAAACCCAUUCCUUGGGAUUUUAUGGGCCCUUACAUGGAGGGACCUCCUCGAGUUUAGGCCUUAGCAAGUGGGCCUAAUUUAAGGAUAUUUACCUUAAAUAUCCUUAGACGAUGAGUGGCGAUGGAAAUGAGGCGAAACAAAUACUUAGAGCCACGUGGACCGAGUCAUCACGAGGCUUGACUCGGUGAAACCAGGAUCAAUUCCCGAGCUGACUCACCAUCACAUUUCAUUCCCUAAAACCCUACCUUCAGGCUUCAAGCAGCGAAAGCGCGAGAAAGUGCGAGAAAAUGGCGAGAAACUCCGUUCUUCUGCGACACCUCCUUCGAUUCUCUCCCUCGUCUCGCGCUCGUUCUUCUUCUCUGAUCGAGACCCUAGCUUCAUCUCCGAUUGCUGUCCCAUCCCCUCCCAUUCAUACAAUUUCCUCCUUUUUCACCACCGCCACCGCUAACUCUCAGUUCUCGCGGCCUUGUUUGAAUUACCGUACACUUUGCUCUUCCUCAGGUACCUCGCAUUUCCCGUGCAAUUUCUCAUUUACUUGUUUUAUUUUUCAUUUCCAUUUUCGUCGUCAUCUUUCGAGUUGUUAUUGCUUUGCUUGGAAAAAUAUGAUCCUAGGGUUUGUUUUUCGAAAUCAAACAGCUGUCUUCAUCGUUUCGAUUAGAAGCAAUUUGCGAUUUAGGGUUUAUAUUCUUUGUAUAAAUCACUGCUUUUAAAUUUAUUCAGGCUCAAUUGUGAAUUUUACCAGUGUUUGAUUAAAAAAUGAUAUAAUUUCUACUUGCAUUAUGGUUUGAUGAAUAAAUCAAGCAUUAUGAAUGAAUUUAAUUCCAGGUCAAUCAAAAAUUGCUCUGAUUAAAUCAGAAGAAGAGUUCAAUACUUCACUUAGCAAGGUUCAAGGUAUUUCGUUUUUCUUCUCUUAUAUUUUGUUUGUUUGCAUCUCGUUACUGUUUUCUCUAAUUCUUACAGCACUUCUCAUUGGUUACAUACUUGUUCAAAUUCAUUGUAAUAGAUGAAUCUUUGCCUGCAAUUUUCUACUUCACUGCAGUAUGGUGUGGGCCUUGUAAGUUUUUGAAUUAUUUCGUUUUCUACUUCAUUGAUUCAAGGAAGGGUAUUGUUUAAUCGGUUUUAUGGCAUAUUUAUUUCGUGUAGGCAGGUUUAUAGCUCCUAUCAUAGCAGAGUUAAGUGAAAAGUACCCUCAUGUCACCACAUACAAGAUUGACAUUGAUCAGGUGAGGAGAAUUUUUCCUUGUCCAAUUAGAAACUCAUGUUUAUGAGUUGAUAACACAUUGAAUUUAUUCUCAUGAAUCACCCUGUAUGCUUUUUAUACAGAUGAUCAAGAUUGAACUUGAAGAAACUGAUUAUUGAUGUUUUAAAUUAUGAAAUUUUGAUAUCAAUCUUAAAAAUAUCAUUGUAGUAGUUCUCAUGAAUAGGGUAACAUUCAAGAGUUCAUAGAGAAACAUCGUGAGAAAGUUGAGAAUUUGGUGGUUUGUAUAAGAAAGGAAUAUCAAAAGUACUUGUAAAAAUUCAUGAUUGAAUGAAAGGUGACAUAGGCCCUGUUUGGAAAUUGCUAUUGAAAACAUUUUAUGUUCUUUUGAACAUAAAACAAUUUUCUAACUCAAAAAACAUGUUUGACAAACUUCUAAAAAAAAAUAGUUUUUUGAGAAUUUGUCAUAAAAUAGGUUGUUUUUUAUAACAAAUUUAAGGUUUUUUAACAAUGUUUUGAGCAAUAAUUGAAAACAUGGAGAAUAUUUUAGGAACUUUUACUUCGUAUAUACUUGUAGAAGAACAAGCGGAGAAAACUGUUUUUCAUAUUUAAGUUCCCAAACAGAAUUUUGUUCUUCAAAACAAGUGGGAACUGUUUUCAGAAACGUUUCCAAGCAGGCUCAUAGAAAAGCAUUUUCCAAGAAGCAUGGUUUCAGAGUUGUAUGGACCAAUAAUAGUAUGGUGCUUGCAUUACAAUUUACAUUUAGCCUUGAAUAGUUGUUUAAUUGUUAAGUUGUUUCUAUUAAGCAUAUUGUUCAUUGGUAUUUCUGUAGGACUUACUUUGUUAACCUAUUUGCAGGAUGGGCUUGAAAACACCCUAAGAAGGUUAAAUAUUGCCUCCGUGGUUAGGCUACUUGAUCCCUUCUUUUCCCUUAAGAAUUGUUUUGAGUUUGGUUUAUAAUUCAUGAAGCAAAGUGGUCAUUUAUUUCUUUUAUUGGUGAAUUAAGUAUCCUGUUUUUUGUAUUUGGAUGAGUAAAUUUGUGCAUAUUUGCACUGAAGAAUACAUUAAUAUCAUAACUUUUCUUCAAAUAAUUGUCUUAUUUACAGAUUGGUGUCUGCCAUCACAAUUUUAGACCAGUUAUCUUUCUUUCUGUUGCUUGAAUUGGCUAGUGAUAUUUAAUCAGAGCAGACUCUCUCCAUUUUAGUUAAUUGUAUGUGCUAAAGAUGUUUCUUGACUUUCUUCUGUUGCAGCCAACACUCCACUUCUUUCAAAAUGGGAAAAAGGCAGCUGAAAUAAUCGGUGCUGAUGUUGCCCGCUUGAAGGAUACCAUGGAUAAACUCUACAAGUAAUUCCCCAGUGGUUUGCCUUUCUGCAUUGUGUAUGCUUUUGCAUGGAUUUUUCUUUGAACAAGGGCUUCCAUAGUUGGCUUCAGGGCUAUAAACGGUUUGCAUUUGAGUUCCAAUCCAUAUUUGAUUCAUAUCAAACUGGAAUCCAUUGUUUCUAAUUUGGUUAUGCUUUUUAGAUACAUUCAUUGGCGAAUCUAAAUACAUUUUUAUCUGAUUAAAUUCUAAGCUGAUAAUGUUACCCUCAACACACAUUUCCUGAAAACAUUUUAAAAUUUUUUGCUUAUGAAAAAGUUAUUUUUCCUUUUAUUUAGUGUAAGUUGAUUGGUCUAAAUUGUUGGGACCUUGGGUUCUAGAUAUAGAAUUUACUGAAUGAAAUCAAAUCUUUCCAAAUAUGCAUCAGAUAAAUUCGUGGCAUGGAUAGGUACAAACAAAUAAAGCAAUACUCAGUGUUCAUAGGCUUCAAUGUUUGCAUCGGCCCAAUCUUCCAAGUUGUUGUGUCUCCUUUCUCUGCAUUGACAAGUGGAUUCAGGUGCCGGUUGACACGUGUGCUUCUCUAUAAUAGACAACGAAGACCGGUUAGGAAGGGGGGUGGCUGGUUAGGCCUCUGCUCCUCCGAUGGUCAAGUCAAUCAUGGUGCUUACUAGAGGAGGCAACAAAUAAUAAGAGUAGAAAGAGAGAUAAGAGUGUCUUUGAUAACCCCUUAGCAGAUACCUAUGUAGGUUUCGGUUAGGAGUGAUGGCCAUGCCAAGAGUUGAAUCCUGCAUGUUAUCUAUACCUCAUUAAUGCUCUGAUGUAGAUAGAUCAUAGAUAUGACGGAGGCAUCUAAUCUAGCUAAACUCAUUGGAUCACAUUAAAUGCUUCAGCUGUUUCGUUGGAGGAGGGGAGGGUUAAGAAGUGGGGCAUCCAUUACUGGUCGCUGUGGGCUGUCCCGUCCUCUCUUGAGCUCAUGCCUUUUACACCCACACACAAGUGAUAUCAACAAUUCAGGAAGAUGAUUGAAUAAUUCGAUUCUCAGACCUGAAUCUGGAUUGAUCAUUUGUCUUGCCUUGUAUUUGAUUAACAUGUUUACAUGUAGCUUCAAGUCAUAGCUAUGAAGUCUGCAGUUUCAGCCAAGUAAUUUUCUCAUUGUUUCCAUUUGCAGGAAGGACUGACAGAAGAUUUUCCAGGGUGGGAGCUGAUGGCACAUGAUAGCUAAUCUGAUGGGUGAUAAAGCUUUCUUCAGAAAGGAGAAAAGGUAUCAAUGUUGAGACUGGGUUUAGUCAGGAUUGGCUUAGCUUUGAGUCUAUGAGGCAUUUUACAUAUCGUAAAUUACAUAAGACCUGAUUAUCAAUUCACUGGUAUGAGAAAACCUCAGUAUCAAAAUCUCCGUUUUGCUUCCAAAUCUAUGGAAAUCGGAUUGUAAUGUUGUCAUCGGUUCAUUGUCAUUCAAUUGAUAAAUGAGUUUCUGAUUCAUUAUCAGAGCUCAC
rnacentral:lncRNA from 1 species